rnacentral:rRNA from 1 species
GAUGAACGCUAGCGGCAGGCCUAACACAUGCAAGUCGAGGGGUAGAGUUCUUCGGGACUUGAGACCGGCGCACGGGUGCGUAACGCGUAUGCAAUCUACCUUAUACAGGGGAAUAGCCCCAGAGAAAUUUGGAUUAAUGCCCCAUAGUGUUAUCGAAUCGCAUGGUUUGAUAACUAAAGUUCCAACGGUAUAAGAUGAGCAUGCGUCCCAUUAGUUAGUUGGUAAGGUAACGGCUUACCAAGACAAUGAUGGGUAGGGGUCCUGAGAGGGAGAUCCCCCACACUGGUACUGAGACACGGACCAGACUCCUACGGGAGGCAGCAGUGAGGAAUAUUGGUCAAAUGGGGCGCAAGCCUGAACCAGCCAUGCCGCGUGCAGGAAGACGGUCCUAUGGAUUGUAAACUGCUUUUAUACAGGAAGAAACCCUCCCACGUGUGGGAGCUUGACGGUACUGUAGGAAUAAGGA